rnacentral:rRNA from 2 species
GACGAACGCUGGCGGUGUGCUUAACACAUGCAAGUCGAACGGUAAGGCCCUUUCGGGGGUACACGAGUGGCGAACGGGUGAGUAACACGUGAGUAACCUGCCCUCAUCUCUGGGAUAACAGUCGGAAACGGUUGCUAAUACUGGAUAUGAGCUUGCAAGGCAUCUUGUGGGUUGGAAAGAUAUUUUUUGGUUGGGGAUGGACUCGCGGCCUAUCAGCUUGUUGGUGAGGUAGUGGCUCACCAAGGCUUCGACGGGUAGCCGGCCUGAGAGGGCGACCGGCCACAUUGGGACUGAGAUACGGCCCAGACUCCUACGGGAGGCAGCAGUGGGGAAUAUUGCACAAUGGACGGAAGUCUGAUGCAGCAACGCCGCGUGCGGGAUGA